rnacentral:rRNA from 1 species
CGGGACGGGUGAGUAAUGUCUGGGAAACUGCCUGAUGGAGGGGGGUAACUGCUGGAAACGGUAGCUAAUACCGCAUAACGUCGCAAGACCAAAGAGGGGGACCUUCGGGCCUCUUGCCAUCGGAUGUGCCCAGGUGGGAUUAGCUAGUAGGUGGGGUAACGGCUCACCUAGGCGACGAUCCCUAGCUGGUCUGAGAGGAUGACCAGCCACACUGGAACUGAGACACGGUCCAG